rnacentral:rRNA from 1 species
GAUGAACGCUGGCGGCGUGCUUAACACAUGCAAGUCGAACGAUGAAGCCCAGCUUGCUGGGUGGAUUAGUGGCGAACGGGUGAGUAACACGUGAGUAACCUGCCCUUGACUCUGGGAUAAGCCUGGGAAACUGGGUCUAAUACUGGAUAUGACUUCUCAUCGCAUGGUGGGGGGUGGAAAGAUUUAUUGGUCUUGGAUGGACUCGCGGCCUAUCAGCUUGUUGGUGAGGUAAUGGCUCACCAAGGCGACGACGGGUAGCCGGCCUGAGAGGGUGACCGGCCAACCAGGACGGGAGAAAGGCCCCGGCCACACACGGGGGGAAGGGGGGGGGAAAGUUGAACAAUGGGUGAAGGCGUGUUGAAGGGAGCCGCGGUGGGGGAGGACGGCUUUCGGGUGGUAAACAUUUUUCGGUAGGAAGAAGCGAGAGUGACGGUACCUGCAGAAGAAGCGCCGGCUAACUACGUG